rnacentral:rRNA from 1 species
GAUGAACGCUGGCGGCGUGCUUAACACAUGCAAGUCGAACGAAGCACUUUAUUUGAUUUCCUUCGGGACUGAUUAUUUUGUGACUGAGUGGCGGACGGGUGAGUAACGCGUGGGUAACCUGCCUUGUACAGGGGGAUAACAGUUGGAAACGGCUGCUAAUACCGCAUAAGCGCACGGCAUCGCAUGAUGCAGUGUGAAAAACUCCGGUGGUAUAAGAUGGACCCGCGUUGGAUUAGCUAGUGGGUGAGGUAACGGCCCACCAAGGCGACGAUCCAUAGCCGAGCUGAGAGGGUGACCGGCCACAUUGGGACUGAGAAACGGCCCAAACUCCUACGGGAGGCAGCAGUGGGGAAUAUUGCACAAUGGGCGAAAGCCUGAUGCAGCGACGCCGCGUGAGCGAAGAAGUAUUUCGGUAUGUAAAGCUCUAUCAGCAGGGAAGAUAAUGACGGUACCUGACGAAGAAGCACCGGCUAAAUACGUG